UACGUAGGGGGCAAGCGUUGUCCGGAUUUAUUGGGCGUAAAGAGCGUGUAGGCGGCUUGACAGGUCUGCUGUGAAAACUCGAGGCUCAACCUCGAGAUGUCGGCGGAAACCGUCUGGCUAGAGUCCGGAAGAGGAGAGUGGAAUUCCUGGUGUAGCGGUGAAAUGCGCAGAUAUCAGGAAGAACACCUAUGGCGAAGGCAGCUCUCUGGGACGGUACUGACGCUGAGACGCGAAAGCGUGGGGAGCGAACCGG
rnacentral:rRNA from 1 species